AGGAAGGAAGGAAGGAAGGAAGGAAGGAAGGAAGGAAGGAAGGAACAAUUAACUAAAAUCAGAAAAUAUUGGCCUGGGUGGGAGAGAUGACUCAUUGGUAAAGACCAGUUGCUGCCUUCAGAAAGGACCAGAUUUCAGUUCUUGGCACCACACCAAAAAGCUGCCAAGAAAGAUAGUUUCAGGGGAUAUGAUAUCCUCUUUUGGCCUCCAUAGGUAGCACACUCAUAUACACGUACUCAUGCUCAAACACACAUACAUAUAAAUAAAUAAGUAGCAAAAUCUUGUUCAUAGUUAUUGGUCUUACACAGAUGAACCAUCUUAUGAUAAAAUGUUAUUAACAAUUGUAAGCUAACUAAUUGGAUACCUUGAAUAAAUGGACAAGCAAACAAAUUACCUCAGGAGAUAUAUAACUUAUUUUAUAAAAUAAAAUAUAUUCCUAACAUGUACAUUUAUUAAUUUUUUCAUAACUAUGAGCAAAUAUCUGACAAGAACUAACUUAAGGAGAGAAGGAUUUAUUUUGGUCCAUCAUUUGGGCCAGGUUGGAGCAGUUCAUGACUGGCAUUAGAAGGGUGGGCUGCAGAUUCAAAUGAUGUGAGCAGUCAGGAAGCAGUGCUGACAGGAACCAAACCUAACACCUACCCUCUGUUCAUCCAUUUUCCCCACCUAGAGCCUCCCUCCUAAAUGUUCCAGGCAGGUGGAUCUGUGGUAAUUCCAGGCCAGACUGAUCUAAAUAGUGAUUUCCAGGACAGCCAGGGCUACAUGGGGAGACCAUAGCUGAAAAAUAAGUGAAUAAAGGCUCAUAUAAAUACUUCAGUGCUAACUUUAUAGAUCAUAUGCGCAAUCAUCAAAAAGUAGAAACAACUCAAAUAUCUACCAAAAGAUGAGCAGAUAAAGAAAAUGUGAUAUAAGCAUGGAAUUAACUACCAUCCCAAUACUAAAAAAGAAUAAAGUUUGUUAUACCAUCACAGAUAAACCUUAAAAACAUUAUAUUAAAUGAAACAAAGCAAGCACAAGACUCCAAAUAAUAUAUGACUACUUCUAUGGAAUAUCUACAGCAGACAAAUUCAUAAAGAUAGAAUGUAGAUCAGAGAUAACCAGCAGUGGGGAAAAGGAAGGCUUGUGGGAGAUAGUUCUUAAUGGACACAGCACUUCUUUAGGAAGUGAUGGGAAAAUGUAAUAAAUACAUGGUGAUAAUGCUUACACAACAUUAUGAAUAUGAAACAUGCUAGUGAAUUAUCCACUUCAGAUGGAUACAGUGACAUACUUUGUUUUAUAUAUUUUAGAAACAUAGAAAAGAUGAAAUCUUUUAAAUGAAGCAUAUUCAUUAAACAAAACCUACCAGUGGU
rnacentral:lncRNA from 1 species